AUGAACACAAACAAUAGAAACCAUUACAAAAUUUGUAAUGGUUUUAAUGGUUAAAAUGGGAAUUCUGUUGGUUUUAAUGGUCACAGUAAUGGUCCCUGUGGGUCUCUAUUGGUAAAUUGCUUUCUUCUAUUGGUGGCAUGUAUUGUCUUGGAUUGCCACCAUGCGUCAUUUGGAAAGGUUAUUUUUUAUUUAGUUUUUUUUUUUGUCUAAAUCAACUCGACUCGUCAUGGCCUUCAAAAUUGACGUUGAAAGUUGGUCUUUGCUUGGUUCGUCGGAUUUGGUCCAAAUUUAGCCCAAAAAUAGAUGUUUAAUAACAGUGAAAUUCUGCGUGACUUCCACGUGCUGCAAUGUGCGCGCGCGCAGAACGUGGAGCGGAGGACGUCACCAUGGAAACGAGGCGGCAGCCCAACCGUCAAGCAGCUGAACGCUGACACUCGGUGUGGUUUCACUAUUUUAUUUAAAGUGGUUUAGUGUCGUCAGAAAAAGUCCGUUAGCAUCUCAACCAAGUGCCAGAAAAAAACCUCUAUGACAGAGGAGAAGUUCCUGAUUUUAACAUUUCUGAAGGGAGCUGCUGACAGAGAGGAUGAAAACACACACAUUUUGAUGUCCACGCUGUAGGAGCAUUACUAAAUGAGUAAAACUAAAAUGUUUUAUAUAUAUAUAUAUUCUGUAAAUUAUUAU